rnacentral:rRNA from 1 species
UACGGAGGGGGCUAGCGUUGUUCGGAAUUACUGGGCGUAAAGCGCACGUAGGCGGAUUUGUAAGUCAGGGGUGAAAUCCCGGGGCUCAACCUCGGAACUGCCUUUGAUACUGCAAAUCUCGAGUCCGGAAGAGGUGAGUGGAAUUCCUAGUGUAGAGGUGAAAUUCGUAGAUAUUAGGAAGAACACCAGUGGCGAAGGCGGCUCACUGGUCCGGUACUGACGCUGAGGUGCGAAAGCCAGGGGAGCAAACGGG